rnacentral:rRNA from 1 species
UACGGAGGAUCCAAGCGUUAUCCGGAUUUAUUGGGUUUAAAGGGUGCGUAGGUGGCCUAUUAAGUCAGGGGUGAAAGACGGUAGCUUAACUAUCGCAGUGCCUUUGAUACUGAUGGGCUUGAGGCAAGGAGAGGGGUGUGGAAUUCCCGGUGUAGUGGUGGAAUGCGUAGAGAUCGGGAGGAACAUCAGUGGCGCAAGCGGCACCCUGGCCUUGGCCUGACGCUCAGGGGCGAAAGCGUGGGGAGCGAACGGG